rnacentral:rRNA from 1 species
AUUGAACGCUGGCGGCAUGCCUUACACAUGCAAGUCGAACGGUAACGGGCCUUCGGGUGCCGACGAGUGGCGAACGGGUGAGUAAUACAUCGGAACGUGCCCGAUCGUGGGGGAUAACGAGGCGAAAGCUUUGCUAAUACCGCAUACGAUCUACGGAUGAAAGUAGGGGACCGCAAGGCCUUGCGCGGACGGAGCGGCCGAUGGCAGAUUAGGUAGUUGGUGGGAUAAAAGCUUACCAAGCCGACGAUCUGUAGCUGGUCUGAGAGGAUGAUCAGCCACACUGGGACUGAGACACGGCCCAGACUCCUACGGGAGGCAGCAGUGGGGAAUUUUGGACAAUGGGCGCAAGCCUGAUCCAGCCAUGCCGCGUGCAGGAUGAAGGCCUUCGGGUUGUAAACUGCUUUUGUACGGAACGAAAAGCCUUCUUUUAAUACAGGAGGGUCAUGACGGUACCGUAAGAAUAAGCACCGGCUAACUACGUG